GUGCUCUUAAGAAUACAAUUAUUCACAACAUAGGUUAGGUUUCAGUUAAGAAUUAGUUUAAUACCAUUCUAAUCAAAAUAUCAAUCAACCUACAGGUACCUAGGUCCAAUCUUAAACACUGGUCUAUGAAUAAGGCUUUAUUGUGAUACAGGCAGUCAUUUAGGCACAACAAUAGUUUUCUGGUUGAAUGUUCAGUUCAAGUCUAGAAGGCCCUACAAGUCAUGAUGCCGAACAUGACUCAGAAUAAGUUCAGGUAUUGCACAUCUUUAGCAGACCACCCAAAAAUCCACUAGAAUGCAGGAAAUCACAUCUACUUAAUCCAAAAUUUCCUGGGGGUGGACCUUCUAGUGAUGGGUUGGUCACGAACGAUCCGGCUCUUUGAAGUGAACGAUGGGAGCCGGCUCCUGAUUGGGAGCCAGAUCCGAAUUUUUUUCUGUUAAAGCCGCAUGAUUUUGGUUACAGAUGCACAGUGAGCAUGUGAACAGGUGGGAGGGAGGCUUGACAGAGCGAGAGAACUUGCUACAUAGACAGAGACUACACACUGGAAAGGUGACCUGAUGAAGCUCAGGUGUCCCUGGACCCAUCAGAGGACAGAGACAGCUGUAGCAUCAGGACAGCCUGGGUAUCCAAAGGAAGACUCAUCAAGAUGAACACUGCCUGCAGAGCUCCAUUACCAGCUCACACUUCAGUAUACUAGAAACCUAAGAUACCUUGAUGAAGGACACGAUCUGCACAGUUUACAUAAAAGUUAUAGCUUUGUUACUUACAACAUGUGUAACUAGAAUAUGAAUUAAUCAUAAAUAAAGUGUUUUACUUUUA